CCUACGGGUGGCAGCAGUGGGGAAUAUUGCACAAUGGGGGGAACCCUGAUGCAGCGACGCCGCGUGGGUGAAGAAGCGCCUCGGCGCGUAAAGCCCUGUCAGCAGGGAAGAAAAUGACGGUAGCAGAGGAGGAAGCUCCGGCUAACUACGUGCCAGCAGCCGCGGUAAUACGUAGGGAGCAAGCGUUGUCCGGAUUUACUGGGUGUAAAGGGUGCGUAGGCGGCCCUGCAAGUCAGAAGUGAAAUCCAUGGGCUUAACCCGUGAACUGCUUUUGAAACUGUAGGGCUUGAGUGAAGUAGAGGCAGGCGGAAUUCCCGGUGUAGCGGUGAAAUGCGUAGAGAUCGGGAGGAACACCAGUGGCGAAGGCGGCCUGCUGGGCUUUAACUGACGCUGAAGCACGAAAGCGUGGGUAGCAAACAGGAUUAGAUACCCCUGUAGUC
rnacentral:rRNA from 1 species